rnacentral:rRNA from 1 species
AGAUUGAACGCUGGCGGCAGGCUUAACACAUGCAAGUCGAGCGGUAACAGGUCCAGCUUGCUGGAUGCUGACGAGCGGCGGACGGGUGAGUAACGCGUAGGAAUCUACCCAGUAGCGGGGGAUAGCCCGGGGAAACCCGGAUUAAUACCGCAUACGCCCCACGGGGGAAAGCAGGGGAUCUUUGGACCUUGCGCUAUUGGAUGAGCCUGCGUCGGAUUAGCUAGUUGGUGGGGUAAAGGCCUACCAAGGCGACGAUCCGUAGCUGGUCUGAGAGGAUGAUCAGCCACACCGGGACUGAGACACGGCCCGGACUCCUACGGGAGGCAGCAGUGGGGAAUAUUGGACAAUGGGGGCAACCCUGAUCCAGCCAUGCCGCGUGUGUGAAGAAGGCUUUCGGGUUGUAAAGCACUUUCAGUGAGGAGGAAAUGGUGACGGCUAAUACCCGUUACAAUUGACGUUACUCACAGAAGAAGCACCGGCUAACUCCGUGCCAGCAGCCGCGGUAAUACGGAGGGUGCAAGCGUUAAUCGGAAUUACUGGGCGUAAAGCGCGCGUAGGCGGCUAAAUCAGUCGGGUGUGAAAGCCCUGGGCUCAACCUGGGAACUGCAUUCGAUACUGUUUAGCUAGAGUAUGGGAGAGGGUAGUGGAAUUCCAUGUGUAGCGGUGAAAUGCGUAGAUAUGUGGAGGAACACCCGUGGCGAAGGCGACUGCCUGGCCCAAUACUGACGCUGAGGUGCGGAAGCGUGGGUAGCGAACAGGAUUAGAUACCCUGGUAGUCCACGCCGUAAACGAUGUCAACUAGCCGUUGGAGGACUUGAUCUUUUAGUGGCGCAGCUAACGCGAUAAGUUGACCGCCUGGGGAGUACGGCCGCAAGGUUA